rnacentral:rRNA from 1 species
CAGCUAGCUUAUCCACUAAUAUAAUUAAACAAUAUAAAUAAAAUAGAAUAGGCCAUACACCAAAAACUAAACCAUUCUUUUACCUAAGUAUGGGAGACAGAAAAGGUUCAACCAAAGCAAUAGAAAAAGUACCGCAAGGGAAAGCUGAAAGAGAAAUGAAACAAUCCAUAUAAGUAUUAAAAAGCAAAGACUAAACCUUGUACCUUUUGCAUCAUGAUUUAGCCAGUAAACUCAAGCAAAGAGACCUUUAGUUUGAAACCCCGAAACCAGGUGAGCUACCCCGAGACAGCCUAUUAAGGGCCAACCCGUCUCUGUGGCAAAAGAGUGGGAAGAGCUCCGGGUAGAAGUGAUAAACCUACCGAACCUGGUGAUAGCUGGUUGCCUAAAAAAUGAAUAGAAGUUCAGCCUCGUACCCCUCAAGUCAAACAAGCACUAACCAAGACGUUAAGAGAAAAACACGAGAGUUAGUUAAAGGAGGUACAGCCCCUUUAACAAAGGAUACAACCUUAUACAGGAGGAUAAAGAUCAUAAUAUAUAAAACAUACUGUUCUAGUGGGCCUAAAAGCAGCCACCUAAACAGAAAGCGUUAAAGCUCAGACAGAGGAAAGUUUAUUAUUCUGAUAAAAAAUCUUACUCCCCUAAAUACUAUUAGGCUAAUCCAUGCCCUCAUGGAAGAAAUUAUGCUAAAAUGAGUAACAAGAAGGCCCGCCCUUCUCCUAGCACAAGUGUAAGCCAAACCGGACCAACCAUUGGCAACUAACGAACUCAAUCCAAGAGAGCAAUGUGAGCCAUAAAAAUAACAAGAAAACUCCACAACUCAAUAAUCGUUAACCCCACACUGGAGUGCUAUUAAAGGAAAGACUAAAAGAAAAGGAAGGAACUCGGCAAACACAAGCCUCGCCUGUUUACCAAAAACAUCGCCUCCUGCAACACAACCAUGUAUAGGAGGUCCAGCCUGCCCAGUGACUACAAGUUCAACGGCCGCGGUAUUUUGACCGUGCAAAGGUAGCGCAAUCACUUGUCUUUUAAAUAGAGACCUGUAUGAAUGGCUAAACGAGGGCUUAACUGUCUCCCCUUUCAAGUCAGUGAAAUUGAUCUGCCCGUGCAGAAGCG